UUAAGUUUCUGUAUCUCUUUCUCCCACUUUACCCCUUUGUCUAACCCCGAUACUGCUUACUUCUUGGUUAUUGUAGAUUGUCUCUCACGUAUCGUCUUGAUUAGAUACCUGAACCAUAUAUGUCAUUUGAUGUUUUCUGUUAUUGACAUUCCCGACGACCACUUAGUGUUAAUUGUUUCUGUUUGUCUACUGACUUCUGUACAAAUGAAGGUCGGAUUACAUGGAACGGUUUAGCAUACAAAUGACUGUUCUCUAUACGUCUCAGUUUCGUUGUCAUCCUUCCAUAAGAUUACUGUCUUGUCGAUUCUGCAAGAUCUGUGAUCGAUACCUAAUCUGGUUACCAGUUAUGCAUCUUUGUCUCAAAUCAUCUUGUGAACAUGUACCCAAAGUCCGUAGAAUUAGACUUUGCAUGGAACGUGUUCGACGCAAUGCCUUACAGAAACCUGGUUUCUUGGACUGCUUUGAUUUCUGGACUUUCCCAGAAUGGGGGAUUCAGAGAAGCUUUGAGAACUUUCACUCAAAUGUGAAAUACUUGAGAAAAGCCUACCCAAUUCGCAUUUUCAAAUGUAAUUCAAUCUUCCGCCUCCCUGGAGUCACUUGAAAUUGGGAAGCAACUGCAUUCUCUUAGUAUAAAGAUGGGUUUUAAUGAUGAAUUAUUUGUGGACAAAAAUCUUGCUGAUAUGUACUCGAAGUGUGGGGCUCUAGCAGAUGCUUACCAAAUUUUGAGUGAAAUGCCAUAUAAAGAUUAGGUUUCAUGGACAGCGAUGAUUGAUGGAUACACAAAGAAUGGUAACUUUGAGGAAGCUUUGUUAUCUUUUAGGAAGAUGAUUCAUGAAGGGAUCACCGUCAAUCAAUAUGUCUUUUGUAGCACAUUAGGCACUUGUGGGGCGCUUAAGGAUUCCACAUUUGGGAUGUCUCUUCAUUCAUGGAUUGUGAAAAUAGGAUUUGAAUUAGAGACUUGUGUGGGCAAUGCUCUCACAGACAUGUACUCAAAAGCAAGGGAUAUGGAGAGUGCAUUUCGUGUGUUUGGGAUUGACUCUGAGUUGAGGAAUGUAGUGUCUUAUACUUCUGUUGGUGAAGAAUAUUAGAAAAUUUAAGUUGUGAACCAUGACAUUUUAGUGUAUAACACACGUUUGUUUAGAGUCUUUGGCUCUUGACUUCGCAUAAGGCACUUUUUCUCCUCUUUCCAAGGUCACAGAGCUUGGCUAGUCCUAGAUAACAUUUGUUUUCUCUACUUUUUAUUUUUUUUUGAGUAUGCUUCUAUUUUAUUCAGGAAAGAGGAGACUGGGUGAGGGUUAAUUUUUGCUUUGGAAGAAACCAUGACAUAUCUGUAUCUUUUGUUAGUCGAUUUAGCUCCUCCCCGGUCAUUGAUAUAUCUAGACAACAUGCUGUGAUGAACUUCACCAAUGUAAAAUAGUUCUUCAUUAUGUAGGUGAGUUUAGAAUUUAGAAUUUAGAAUUUAGAACAAUCAAAUUAUUGUGUGUCAACUGUUUACUAUUAGCUCAAUUAUAUAUCUUUCUUUCCUUUUCCAUCUAUAUUUAAAAACAUUGUGUUUAGUAAACCAGCUGUAUUACUAAAACCAUUGUUACAUGGGUUUGGGUACUGGAUUAGUUACAUGUAUGUGAUGAGGAGUUGGAUUGAUCUGACGUUUUGAACUUAGGAUAUAGAAACAUGUAUGCAAUAAUGGGUAUGGGGACAAGCCUUCAGCUGAAAUGUGUCAAAAGGAAGGUUAUGACCAAGUGUCCUACUGCUGGGAUUUGUGUUGGACAUAUAUCCUGUACCCAUAAUCAUGUUCUGUAGUGUUGGCACAAUUACUAACUAUACAUGAAGAGUCUAGGUAACAAUGUAACAUUGGCUAAAACUAUAGUUCAGUGGAUGUUAUACUAGGUAUUACCUAGCUAGUUGAGUCCUACCUAUUUCAACUGGCUUUUGUUGAAGAGUGAUGCGGAUCCGGGUUCCAAAAUUCGGAAUCAGAUUGCUUAGGGGCCCACAAUUAACAAAUAAUUCAAUUUAAACAAACCAGUGGUAGUAAUGUAAUUUAUGGCACAACUUAAAAACCUUUUUUAGAAUGAAAUAGCUGAAUGAGGACAGAUCUGGAAUUAAUCCCAAAGAAAACUCAAUUCUGGAAAUUUAUUUGAUGUUUAUAAUAAAGAAUGGCAGAAUUGUAAUUAUAAGUCACCAAUCUAAUUAAUGGGAAUCAAGGAAUAACGUUAGAUGAGGGAGGGGUAUUCUGGAAUUAGAAAUAAAGAAACUCAAAGGGAAUUAAAAGUUAAAGGCUGGGGUAUAAUAGGAAAAACGAAAUUAAAGGGUUGUAAACCACAACUCACGAGUCUAUCUUCUCUUUCCUUAGACAACCAGCAGAGGCGGAAGAAACCAGCAGCUUGCGAGGGAUGGGAAAUACUUCAGAACAGCAAUGCAAACAGGGGCUGUAGUGCCUGCAAACCAGAUUUGGCGGUAGGUUUAGGUAACCUGAGUUGCAGGUUUUUGUUUCUCACAGCAGGAGUCAUCUUCAGGCAUGAUAUUCAAGGGUUAGGGUCGCCUUGGAGAGGGCUUCCUUCGACUAAAAUCUCAGUCCAGAAACCUUAAAGGAGAAAGAGGUCAAUCCUCUAAACUGGGGCUGUAUCUACCGCCCAGAACAGGGAACCGAUAACAGCAAUAGAGAAUAGGAGUGGUAGGAAGGAGAAAAGAAGAAGAUAA